rnacentral:rRNA from 1 species
UCGUGGAGGCCCGAACCCACUUAGGUUGAAAACUGAGGGGAUGAGCUGUGGGUAGGGGUGAAAGGCCAAUCAAACUCCGUGAUAGCUGGUUCUCUCCCGAAAUGCAUUUAGGUGCAGCGUCGUGUGUUUCAGUCUGUCUGGAGGUAAGAGCUACUGGAUGGCCGAUGGGUCCCCCACAAGGUUACUGGACGUCAGCCAAACUCCGAAUGCCAGUGUGAGAGCGCGGCAGUGAGACUGCGGGGGAUAAGCUUCGUAGUCGAGAGGGAAAACAGCCCAGAUCGCCCGGCUAAGGCCCCCUAAGCGUGUACUAAGUGGAAAAGGAUUUGGGUCGCGAAGACAACCAGGAGGUUUGCUUAGAAAGCAGCCACCCUUGGAAAGAGUGCGUAAUAGCUCACUGGUCAAGUGAUCCUGCGCCCGACAAUGUAGCGGGGGCUCAAGUACACCCGCCGAAGCCGCGGCAUUCACAUAACACCCAUGCGGGUCUACGGGCCUGUGUGCAGUGGUGUGGAUGGGUAGGGGAGCGUCGUGCAGCCAUGGAAGCGCCGGAGUGAUCCAGGUGUGGAGGCUGCACGAGUGAGAAUGCAGGCAUGAGUAGCGAAAGGACGAGUGAGAAACUCGUCCGCCCGAAUGACCAAGGGUUUCCUGGGCCAGGUUAAUCCGCCCAGGGUGAGUCGGGACCUAAGGCGAGGCCGACAGGCGUAGUCGAUGGACAACGGGUUGAUAUUCCCGUACCCGUGUGAACGCGCCCCUGGUGAAUCAGUGAUGCUAAGCGCCCUGAAGCCGCCUUCGAACCUUCGGGUUCUCCGGUGUGUGGAUGCGCGUGAACCGAUCUGGUAGUAGCCAAGCGAUGGGGUGACGCAGGAAGGUAGCUGAGCCAGUCAGUGGUAAUACUGGUGUAAGCGUGUAGGGCGUGACCUAGGCAAAUCCGGGUCACAUACAGCCUGAGACGUGAUGCGUAGCCGAUUGAGGCGAAUUCAGUGAUCCUAUGCUGCCGAGAAAAGCCUCUAGCGAGCUUUCACACGGCCCGUACCCCAAACCGACACAGGUGGUCAGGUAGAGAAUACUAAGGCGAUCGAGAUAACUGUGGUUAAGGAACUCGGCAAAAUGCCCCCGUAACUUCGGGAGAAGGGGGGCCUCGUCUGGUGACGGAACUUGCUUCCUGAGCUGGGUGGGGCCGCAGAGACCAGAGAGAAGCGACUGUUUACUAAAAACACAGGUCCGUGCGAAGUCGUAAGACGAUGUAUACGGACUGACGCCUGCCCGGUGCUGGAAGGUUAAGAGGACCGGUUAGCCAGUAAUGGCGAAGCUGAGAAUUUAAGCCCAGUAAACGGCGGUGGUAACUAUAACCAUCCUAAGGUAGCGAAAUUCCUUGUCGGGUAAGUUCCGACCUGCACGAAUGGCGUAACGACUUCUCUGCUGUCUCAACCACAGACUCGGCGAAAUUGCAUUACGAGUAAAGAUGCUCGUUACGCGCGGCAGGACGAAAAGACCCCGGGACCUUCACUAUAGCUUGGUAUUGGUGUUCGGUUCGGUUUGUGUAGGAUAGGUGGGAGACUGUGAAGCGGGCACGCCAGUGUUCGUGGAGUCGUUGUUGAAAUACCACUCUGAUCGUAUUGGACAUCUAACCUCGGACCAUGAUCUGGUUCAGGGACAGUGCCUGGUGGGUAGUUUAACUGGGGCGGUUGCCUCCCAAAAUGUAACGGAGGCGCCCAAAGGUUCCCUCAGCCUGGUUGGCAAUCAGGUGUCGAGUGCAAGUGCACAAGGGAGCUUGACUGUGAGACUGACAGGUCGAGCAGGGACGAAAGUCGGGACUAGUGAUCCGGCACCGGCAAGUGGAAGCGGUGUCGCUCAACGGAUAAAAGGUACCCCGGGGAUAACAGGCUGAUCUUCCCCAAGAGUCCAUAUCGACGGGAUGGUUUGGCACCUCGAUGUCGGCUCGUCGCAUCCUGGGGCUGGAGUAGGUCCCAAGGGUUGGGCUGUUCGCCCAUUAAAGCGGCACGCGAGCUGGGUUUAGAACGUCGUGAGACAGUUCGGUCUCUAUCCGCCGCGCGCGUUAGAAACUUGAGGAAGGCUGUCCCUAGUACGAGAGGACCGGGACGGACGAACCUCUGGUGUGCCAGUUGUUCCGCCAGGAGCACUGCUGGUUAGCUACGUUCGGAAGGGAUAACCGCUGAAAGCAUCUAAGCGGGAAGCCUGUUCCAAGAUGAGGUUUCUCACCCCCUCGAGGGGGUAAGGCCCCCGGCAGACCACCGGGUUGAUAGGCCAGAACUGGAAGCACAGUAAUGUGUGGAGGUGACUGGUACUAAUAGGCCGAGGACUUACCACAA